AGCGAACGCUGGCGGCAGGCCUAACACAUGCAAGUCGAACGAAGUCUUCGGACUUAGAGGCGGACGGGUGAGUAACACGUGGGAACGUACCUUUUGGUUCGGAACAACCCAGGGAAACUUGAGCUAAUACCGGAUGAGCCCUUAGGGGGAAAGAUUUAUCGCCGAAAGAGCGGCCCGCGUUAGAUUAGCUAGUUGGUGAGGUAAAGGCUCACCAAGGCUACGAUCUAUAGCUGGUCUGAGAGGAUGAUCAGCCACACUGGGACUGAGACACGGCCCAGACUCCUACGGGAGGCAGCAGUGGGGAAUCUUGCGCAAUGGGCGAAAGCCUGACGCAGCCAUGCCGCGUGAAUGAUGAAGGUCUUAGAUUGUAAAAUUCUUUUACCAGGGACGAUAAUGACGGUACCUGGAGAAAAAGCCCCGGCUAACUUCGUGCCAGCAGCCGCAGUAAGAC
rnacentral:rRNA from 1 species